UGUUUCUAGACCAAAUAUUCUAAAAAUCGACUUUGCCUACAUGAUGUUUUGGCAUUCUGUGGACAGAGCCGUUAUCUUCAGAGCUUUGUGAAAUUUGGACAGAGCUUGCUUCCUGCCUCCCUUCUCUUCAGUUGCUGUCUACACAGACAUUUCUGAUCUCCAGCCAUACGUCAUCUGGAAUGACAGCUGACUUAGCCUCUCACCAGGCCACUGGGCAGAAUUAUGAAACUCGGAAUUCCUUGCAGUCUCAUGAAUUUAAUGUUUCAUUACUGCCAAAAGGGACAAGCCCAGUCUGGAUCACCUGAGCCCGAGUCCUCCGUGCCAUCCCUGCCUCCCUGCAACUCAGACAGUGGGGCUCUUUGCUCGCUGCCAGGCUUCUAGCCAGCAGCAGCCCCACGGUGUUGGUAAGGAGGACCAUCCUGGCCUACAGCCUGGAGGAGCACCGUUGAGAAGCACUCUGAAGGAGUGUUUUCUCCACAGCUCAGCCCCAGAAAGAAAUCCCUGGGAACAUUUCUCAUCUUGGGUUAAUGUAUGGAUAGAUAGCAUGCAGACAAAGCCAACCAAA